GUUUGAAGGUAUUAGGAGGAAGGUAUAAAGGAGACCACAGAGAAUAAUCAUCCUGAUGACUGGGCUUAAGAGCUAUUGAAGAUCUGGAUCCCAGGCGGGACCCCUCGGCUUCGAGAUCAGUCAAAGAAUCAACAGAGUGCGUUCUGUAUAAAGCAAGGUGACCAGGUUAAUAAAGUAACUCUGUCCAGCAACACCGAGGUUAAAGCUUCUGUGCUCUGUGGCGAAAUUGUGCAAUUACAAUUGAGCACUGAGCAAUUUUUAUUUUUUUUUCAAGAAUGAGUACAGCCUUAAUUAUGAGAAAAGUCCAAUCAACUAUAAUAAGGUGACAUGAUUGACAUUCAGCUAAUCCAACGCUAUUCCCUGGGAAAUGGUUCUUGUUUCACGUGGAUCAUUAUCUCGUGCUAGGAGUUCAAGGUUAGUUCGAGUGGUCAAUUAAUGCUUCAUAAUUCAUUUUAUCAAAACUCCACUGUUUGUCUUAUCUUCUGUUCCAGCUAAUCCAGCAAAGCAGCAGUACAGUUCACAAAGUCAAAUCAGAAUGGGCAGCCAUUUUGAGGUGUUGUUUUAAAUUGAAAAGCCAUUUUGCUGUUAAAGAAAACCUACAUAUAUUUGUUGCUCCUGACAACAGCCAAGAUUGAAAUUUGGAAACCUCACUAUAACAUGAGCAGACUUGAAUGAACUUGGUUCAGUCCUGGAUGCGAUUAGCACACAAUAUUAUCAGCAUUGAUACUUGUGAACUCACUGGUGUGUGGUCACUUGAGAGGGAUCGUUUUGCACAGUUCAAGCAGGUGAAUGGUCUGUUGCCAGUCUGCGUGCACUGGUGGGAAGGUGGAUUGGAUGACUGAGUGAAUCCCUUCCCACCAUCCAAGUAGACGGAUGAUCUCUGCCGAGUAUGAACCCGCUGGUGUACAGUGAGGUGGGAUGAAUGAGCAAAGCCUUUUUCCGCACAGCGAGCAGGUGAACGGUUUCUCCCCGGUGUGAAUUCGUUGGUGGACAGUGAGUUGAGACGAUCGCUUGAAGCCAGUCCCACAGUGAGAGCACCUGAACUGCCUCUCCUCUGUGUGGACACGCUGAUGGGAUACCAAUCCCCCAGAACUCUGGUAGCACUUUCCACAGUGUGAGCAUUUAAAAGGCCUCUCCCCAGUGUGAACGUGCUGGUGCAUCGCUAGGCUGGAUGAUGUAACAAAUGCCUUCCCACAUCGGGAGCAGGUGAACGGUCGCUCCCCAGUGUGGGUGCGCCAGUGAAUGUCGAGCUCAGACGGGUAGUUGAAUCCCUUCCCCCACACAGUACAUUUCCAUGGCUUGUUCCCACUGAGAGUGCACUGACCCUUCUUCAGCUGGGGUGGGUAACUGAUUCCUUUCCCACUGUCUCCACAUUUCCACAACUGUUUGGCAGUGUGACCACACAGACCAGACUGACCGAAGCCUUGUUCACACACACAACAUGAGUGCAGUUUCUCCCCACUAUUCACGGUGCUUAUUAUUUCCAUGUUCAAAUCUGAUGAGAUGCAGGUUGCAAUAGGUCAGUUCAAUCCACCAGAAUCUGCUCAAAUUCAAUUUCCAGGCCGUCACUUUCCAAUGCCCUGUAAUAUUGAUGCAAAACAGAACAAAGUAAGAGACAGCCAACAAAACCCCACAAAGAUUACACCUGAAAUUAACCUGAACGGAUCGGAUAAGAUCAGGGCCAGCACUCAAGAAGGGGCAAUGAAAUUUUCUGAAUUAUUAUGAAAACCAUAACUGGUUCAGGCAUGUCCUUCAGGGAGGAGAACUG